rnacentral:rRNA from 1 species
AACGAACGCUGGCGGCAUACCUAACACAUGCAAGUCGAACGAAGCCUUCGGGCUUAGUGGCGCACGGGUGCGUAACGCGUGGGAAUCUGCCCUUUGGUUCGGAAUAACAGUUGGAAACGACUGCUAAUACCGGAUGAUGACGAAAGUCCAAAGAUUUAUCGCCAGAGGAUGAGCCCGCGUAGGAUUAGCUAGUUGGUGUGGUAAAGGCGCACCAAGGCGACGAUCCUUAGCUGGUCUGAGAGGAUGAUCAGCCACACUGGGACUGAGACACGGCCCAGACUCCUACGGGAGGCAGCAGUGGGGAAUAUUGGACAAUGGGCGAAAGCCUGAUCCAGCAAUGCCGCGUGAGUGAUGAAGGCCCUAGGGUUGUAAAGCUCUUUUACCCGGGAUGAUAAUGACAGUACCGGGAGAAUAAGCCCCGGCUAACUCCGUGCCAGCAGCCGCGGUAA